rnacentral:rRNA from 1 species
GUGGGGAAUCUUGCGCAAUGGGCGAAAGCCUGACGCAGCCAUGCCGCGUGAAUGAUGAAGGUCUUAGGAUUGUAAAAUUCUUUCACCGGGGACGAUAAUGACGGUACCCGGAGAAGAAGCUCCGGCUAACUUCGUGCCAGCAGCCGCGGUAAUACGAAGGGGGCUAGCGUUGCUCGGAAUUACUGGGCGUAAAGGGCGCGUAGGCGGACAGCUUAGUCAGAGGUGAAAGCCCAGGGCUCAACCUUGGAAUUGCCUUUGAUACUGGCUGUCUUGAGUUUGGGAGAGGUGAGUGGAACUCCGAGUGUAGAGGUGAAAUUUGUAGAUAUUCGGAAGAACACCAGUGGCGAAGGCGACUCACUGGCCCAAUACUGACGCUGAGGCGCGAAAGCGUGGGGAGCAAACAGGAUUAGAUACCCGUGUAGUCC